UGGGGAAUCUUGCACAAUGGGGGAAACCCUGAUGCAGCGACGCCGCGUGAGCGAUGAAGGUUUUCGCAUCGUAAAGCUCUGUCCUAUGGGAAGAUAAUGACGGUACCAUAGGAGGAAGCCCCGGCUAACUACGUGCCAGCAGCCGGGGUAAUACGUAGGGGGCGAGAGUUGUCCGGAAUUACUGGGCGUAAAGGGUUCGCAGGCGGCAUGACAAGUCCGAUGUAAAAGGCGAAAGCUCAACUUUCGUAAGCAUCGGAAACUGUCAAGCUUGAGUGAAGGAGAGGCAAGUGGAAUUCCUAGUGUAGCGGUGGAAUGCGUAGAUAUUAGGAGGAAUACCGGUGGCGAAGGCGACUUGCUGGACUUCAACUGACGCUGAGGAACGAAAGCGUGGGUAGCAAACAGG
rnacentral:rRNA from 1 species